rnacentral:rRNA from 1 species
UACGUAGGCAGCGAGCGUUGUUCGGAAUUACUGGGCGUAAAGAGUGUGUAGGCGGUGUUCCCAGUCUGUUGUGAAAUCUCCCGGCUUAACUGGGAGGGUGCAGCGGAAACUAGAAUGCUAGAGGGUGGGAGAGGUAAGCGGAAUUCCUGGUGUAGCGGUGAAAUGCGUAGAUAUCUGGAGGAACACCGGUGGCGAAGGCGGCAUCCUGGACCGACACUGACGCUGAGGAGCGAAAGCCAGGGGAGCAAACGGG